AUGAGGUUGAUACAAUGAUUUAUCAACCCCAGAGAUGUGAUAUUCACCAAGGCCAACGGCGAGGUGAAUAUCACAUCUGGGGUUGAUAAAUCAUUGUAUCAACU
rnacentral:sRNA from 1 species